rnacentral:lncRNA from 1 species
AAGUGGUGGGAGAGGCCAGAUUGGUGGAGGUCUGGUUGGACCGAGUCAUAUUCGGAGUGGUAUGAGAUUGGUUGGCCGAGUCACAAUCGAAAUCCGUGGGCAUUGUAUCUAUACGUUAUAACUAAAUUGACUGUAUCUUUCUAUUAGCUCGAGUUUUUGAGAUUAAUGACUAGCGACAACGAUCCAACAAUAAUUAAUUAUGUAUUCUUAAAUUUAUCCCUAACUUUUUACUCAACCACUCAUUUAC